UCCCUGGUAGUCCAGCGGCUAAGACUCUGCUCUUCCAAUGCAGGGAGCCUGGGUUUGAUCCCUGUUCAGGGAA
rfam:Ovis aries breed Texel chromosome 3, whole genome shotgun sequence.